rnacentral:rRNA from 1 species
AGCGAACGCUGGCGGCAGGCCUAACACAUGCAAGUCGAACGAAGUCUUCGGACUUAGUGGCGGACGGGUGAGUAACACGUGGGAACGUGCCUUUAGGUUCGGAAUAACUCAGGGAAACUUGUGCUAAUACCGAAUGUGCCCUUCGGGGGAAAGAUUUAUCGCCUUUAGAGCGCCCCGCGUCUGAUUAGCUAGUUGGUGGGGUAAUGGCCCACCAAGGCUACGAUCAGUAGCUGGUCUGAGAGGAUGACCAGCCACAUUGGGACUGAGACACGGCCCAAACUCCUACGGGAGGCAGCAGUGGGGAAUCUUGCGCAAUGGGCGAAAGCCUGACGCAGCCAUGCCGCGUGGAUGAUGAAGGUCUUAGGAUUGUAAAAUCCUUUCACCGGUGAAGAUAAUGACUGUAGCCGGAGAAGAAGCCCCGGCUAACUUCGUGCCAGCAGCCGCGGUAACAC